UACAGAGGGGGCAAGCGUUGUCCGGAAUUAUUGGGCGUAAAGAGCUCGUAGGCGGUCUGUUGCGUCGGCUGUGAAAUCCCGAGGCUCAACCUCGGGCCUGCAGCCGAUACGGGCAGACUAGAGUUCGGCAGGGGAGACUGGAAUUCCUGGUGUAGCGGUGAAAUGCGCAGAUAUCAGGAGGAACACCGGUGGCGAAGGCGGGUCUCUGGGCCGAUACUGACGCUGAGGAGCGAAAGCGUGGGGAGCGAACAGG
rnacentral:rRNA from 1 species